rnacentral:sRNA from 1 species
GCUGGAGGCGCGGUGGUGCACGCCUGUAAUCCCAAGGGCUUGGGAGGCUGAGGCAGGAGGAUCAUGAGUUCAAAGCCAGCCUCAGCAACUUAGUGAGGCCCUAAGCAACUCAGUGAGACCCUGUCUCUA